AAGAAGCUUCCACUGUAGAAACCGAUUGUAAAACCGCGGGGAAGUUCACCUCGCGCCUUUCUCUCCCCUCAGACCGCGAUAGUUGCAUCAUGCAGCUGGACUUCACCAAGCCCGAGAACAGCGGGCUGGGCUUCGCUCUGAUUGGUGGAGCCAACGGCAGCGUGCUGCGGGUGAAGGAGAUCUGCACUGGGGGGCUGGCGGAGCAGGACGGGCGACUGCGGGUGGGGGACAUCCUGUUGGAGGUGAACGGCGUCAUCGUCUCGGGGCUGAGCCACGGGAAGGUGGUGGACAUCCUGCGGCGGGCGGAGGGCGUGGUCCAGCUCACCAUCUGCCGCGACUUCCUGUCGGCGGCGCACCCCAGAGCCCCGCCCCCGGCGGCCGACAGGACCCUCAGCCUCGGCCCCGUGUGGACCGACCCGGCCCCGGACCCCUGCGGCUCCCCGGAGGCCGCGCCCAGCAAGCCCGUGGAGCAUCGCCCCGAAGCAGCACCCAACCCCACCGUAGAGGUGGGUGUUUUUGCCGCCGCUAACCCAUAUCCUAUACAUCGGCUUGCUGUUGUAAGAGAUGAGAACGCCAUAGACCAGGAGAGCUGUAACAGCACCCCGUCCCACCCGGCCUGCUGCCCCUCCCUCAGCGUCUCUGACAUGCUGCACGGAGCCUCCGACAGGUGGAAAAGUCGCUGGGAAAGGAAGCUGAGCCAUGAUUCCCCUAACAACAGCAGGCUGGUCUGACCCUCAUCCCCUCCCUCCCUCCCUCCCUCCCCCCCUCCCCCCUCCCUCCUUCCCUCCCCCCCCCCCCUCCCUCCCUCCCCCACC
ensembl:lncRNA